rnacentral:rRNA from 1 species
UACGUAGGUGGCGAGCGUUGUCCGGAAUUAUUGGGCGUAAAGCGCGCGUAGGCGGGAUAUUAAGUCUCAUUUAAAAGUGCGGGGCUCAACCCCGUGAUGGGUGAGAAACUAAUAUUCUUGAGUGCCGGAGAGGAAAGCGGAAUUCCCAGUGUAGCGGUGAAAUGCGUAGAUAUUGGGAGGAACACCAGUGGCGAAGGCGGCUUUCUGGACGGUGUCUGACGCUGAGGCGCGAAAGCCAGGGGAGC